UACGAAGGGGGCUAGCGUUGCUCGGAAUUACUGGGCGUAAAGCGCACGUAGGCGGUCUUUUAAGUCGGGGGUGAAAUCCUGGAGCUCAACUCCAGAACUGCCUUCGAUACUGGAAGACUCGAGUCCGGGAGAGGUGAGUGGAACUGCGAGUGUAGAGGUGAAAUUCGUAGAUAUUCGCAAGAACACCAGUGGCGAAGGCGGCUCACUGGCCCGGUACUGACGCUGAGGUGCGAAAGCGUGGGGAGCAAACAGGG
rnacentral:rRNA from 1 species